rnacentral:rRNA from 1 species
CACGUAGGCGGAUUAUUAAGUCAGGGGUGAAAUCCCGGGGCUCAACCCCGGAACUGCCUUUGAUACUGGUAGUCUAGAGAUCGAGAGAGGUGAGUGGAAUUCCGAGUGUAGAGGUGAAAUUCGUAGAUAUUCGGAGGAACACCAGUGGCGAAGGCGGCUCACUGGCUCGAUACUGACGCUGAGGUGCGAAAGCGUGGGGAGCAAACA